UUCGGAACCCACCGGCUGCUGAGGGGAGGAGGCGAAAGGAGGGGGUUGGGAGUCCACGGGCAUUGGGUCGGGGCAGCAGGGACUUCAGGCGACUGCGUGGGGGGCUAGAUCCGGAGGAGAGGGGAGGGGUGGCGGGGGUCGGAGGAGCACGCAGGGCGGAGGGGUGUGGGGCUCUUUAAGAGCCACACGGCUAGCAGGAGAGGCGUGCGGCCCUGUGCUGGUAGCGCACUGACCCCGAAGGGGAUUUAGCGGGAAGGGAGCGACCGGGUUCUGGGGGCUUUGUCCGGGGGCGCCCAGAAAGGCCGAGGCACAAGAAUAAGAAGCGGCUGCAGCGUGAAAGGCUGCGAGGAGCGGCGGCGCUGCUGCUCUUGACUUCUGAGCAGGGCUUAGAAGGCCUGCCCCGGCUUAAGCUGAACUGAGGGUGCUGAGUCCUGAGCGCCGAGUUCACGAGCCCUGAGUCCUGGCCUCUAGGCUGAGGAGGCGUGGGAUAGGGGCGGACGCUGGAGUAGUGGGUCUUCUUGCGACAACCCCCUCUUGGAUCUUACAGCCUUGCUACCCAAGCGCAAGGUUGUUAGCCUAGCUUGCCGCGUCUGGCAUAGCCAAAGAAAUUUACUUUCCCAGCUUGGCUUUUGCUUUUGUGUGUCCACCUCGAGCAGAUCCGGAGCUGGCCGACCCCAGACUGAUUCUCAACAGGUGGCUGGCGAUCAGAGGAGAAUCGCCAGGCUGAGGGGGAAGCGAGGAACAUAUGGACCCAAGUAGGAUCCUGAAAGAAUUUCGAGAAGCUCCGAGACCAAAUCAUACAGGCCCUAAAUAUUGGUCAAUCACCAGGAGUGAAAUAGAAACUUAGAUCACACACUCAAGUCCUGUUUCUGAAUGAGGGGCUCAAGUGCUAGACCACAAGUGGCCGCUAUGAAUGCUGCAUCGUGGAGUCCCACCUGAUCCCUCCUUCAACCACACACCUCAGACUGCAAGGAGAGCUAGAUGAGAAGGAGCUGGGGCUCUUGCGAUCUGCAGAGGCAGCACGCUGGUCAGGAAGAACCCAGAACACCUGCCUCAGACACAGCCAGUCUGUCCACACACAAAAGACAGGGCUGAGGGGCUAUUAAGUCAAACCUGGAGUCACAGCCCCAAUGUCCUCAGACGGUCCCCAACCCUCUGCAGCAAUGUGGACAUGUGUCAGUGUGGCUGAAAAGCUUCUUCUCUGAGCUUUAACAACUUUCUGGUGUAACUUCUGAGAGGGCUGAUUGCUUAUUCAUGUGGAAGCAAGACGCCCAGUCCGUUUUGCCUGUUUUUGCUACUCUUUGUUGUCUCGGGGGGAGUGUUAUGGUAGCUGCAAAUGGCUUCUCCCGUGACAUUUGCUGACAUUCAGUGAAGUACAUUUAUCAGCGCUCGCGAGCUCACCUCCGCACAUGCAAUCCAUUUUGUUUUGUUCUUCAUGGUAACCCCCUUCCCAACACCCGUGCCCUGAAAAUGAUGAAGGGCAGGCGGCGCAUUUCUCAAGCUGCACUCAAAUGUCACUGUGAAAAAUCUUUAAUGGACUAAGUGUAGCUUUUCACGUUACAACUUGUCAGGUACUGAGAAAUUCUAGAGUUUCUCCUUAAUCCACGAGUCAUUGGAACCACACAUCUGCAGGUAGAGACUAAUUAUAAGCUGUACCAGUCAGAACUGGGCAAGCAGAGACCAAGGAGAAAACAUUAGGUCUCAGUUAAUUCUUUAUUACUAUCAUUAUUAUUAUCAUUAUCAUUAUUAUUAUUAUUCUCAUUCCAUUUUUUUGCUACUUCGUCUCCUACUCAGAGAAUAUGCCAGGUAUGAGCAAUCUGUUACUCUAAUUAAUUGAGUGACAGCCCCCAACUAGCUCUCCAUGCAGGCUUACCGUCUCUACGCACUCAGCUUUCUCAGUAACAUUUUUCAUCUUUCCCUCCAACGUAUCUGACUCUGAAUCAUAAUCCUGGUCCCUUAGGGUUGGCCAUGACGGAGCCGUUGAGAGGAACUGAGAUGUGUCCCAUCUCCUGUCCACCUAGUUAUCCCUCAUCGGAGGGCAUGGCAUUGGAGCCCAGAGAUUCACAUCACCAACGUGUAAGCCUGCAUUUUCCUCCCUUGCCCCACACCUGGUCGGAGCAGUGCCACCCACACUCACAGUGGUGGCCUACAGACUCCCUCUAAGCCUUGCAUAGGGUUUGCUCGGUCUGGUUUUACCCCUUUGAAUGGACUCAGCUCAGUGGCUGUUCUUCAUGGGUGAAUCAGCCCACACUCUAAUGGUCAUGGCUUCUAUGUUCUGCCCCUGCUUCUCAGUUCACAGGCAGGAACCUCAUCACCCAUGUGUUACUGUUACGAUGGGUUCUCUGGAAUGCUGCUAGCUCAUUCAGGUGAAACCAUCACCACCAUCAUCAUCAUCAUCACGAUCAUCAUCAUCAUAUUCUAUUUAUAUGAGCACACUGUAGCUGUCUUCAGACACACCAGAAGAGGGCAUUGGAUCCCAUUACGGGUAGUUGUGAGCCACCAUUGCUCACAAUUGCUGGGAACUGAACUCAGGACCUCUGCAAGAGCAGUCAGUGCUCUUAACGGCUGAGCCAUCUCUCUAGCCCUGCAGGUGGAAUUUUAGGAGCAAGCUUCAGAGAGAUAUCUUGUUCCCUUCCACAACGUAAACUAGAAAGUAGGAUCUCACAAACAUGGACUCUGCCAGGCUCGUGACCUUCAAACUCUAGAACUGUUCAGAAUAAAAUUCUGUUCCUUAUAAGGUA
ensembl:processed_transcript Six3os1 SIX homeobox 3, opposite strand 1